UUACCGCUAUGAAUAUGCAUAGAUCUGACAAUCAUUUAUUACGAAAGGUUAUAUAAGGAUGUCGAGUGCUUCAGAUGUUGAUGUUCAUCCAGCAUUGACUUGCUGCUUUAAGUUUUCAAACGAAAUUAACCUGAUGGGUUUAGGCUAACCCUCCGCAGAUAAGGCAACAAAUAUCUUUAACAUAUCCUUAGAAUCUAUUUGGUUGAAGAAAAACUAUUUCAUAAUGGGAACGAGUCUGCGUGUGCCUUAGACAAUGGAACAAAUGUACAAAAAUAGAACAAGAACUUGGCACAUUUGGUACGUAUCAAGAUUAAAAGAUAAAUGCAAGGAACGAGUAAAUAGUAAACUGACAGCAAUGGAAUUUAUUUAUUGAAUGUCAACUAAAGACAGUCGACAAAACAAA